GAUGAACGCUGGCGGCGUGCCUAAUACAUGCAAGUCGAGCGAACAGACGAGGAGCUUGCUCCUCUGACGUUAGCGGCGGACGGGUGAGUAACACGUGGAUAACCUACCUAUAAGACUGGGAUAACUUCGGGAAACCGGAGCUAAUACCGGAUAAUAUAUUGAACCGCAUGGUUCAAUAGUGAAAGACGGUUUUGCUGUCACUUAUAGAUGGAUCCGCGCCGCAUUAGCUAGUUGGUAAGGUAACGGCUUACCAAGGCAACGAUGCGUAGCCGACCUGAGAGGGUGAUCGGCCACACGGGAACUGAGACACGGUCCAGACUCCGACGGGAGGCAGCAGUAGGGAAUCUUCCGCAAUGGGCGAAAGCCUGACGGAGCAACGCCGCGUGAGUGAUGAAGGUCUUCGGAUCGUAAAACUCUGUUAUUAGGGAAGAACAAAUGUGUAAGUAACUAUGCACGUCUUGACGGUACCUAAUCAGAAAGCCACGGCUAACUACGUG
rnacentral:rRNA from 1 species